CAGGAUAAAUUUUAACAAGAAUGUUGGCUUUGGGGGCCAGUCGUAAAGGUUUAAUUCCUUUUAUCCUGA
rnacentral:tRNA from 1 species